GCGAAAUCCCCCUUACAAAAAAAUCCCGUGAAAGUCACAUGUGAAAGUCACAUGUGAAAGUCACAUGUGAUCACAUGUGGUUCACACAAAUUUUUACAUGUGAAAGAUGUGAAUCACAUGUAUUCGUGUGAUUUCGGAACGUUUCGUGGUAAAAUCACAUGUGAUUCACAUGUUCCACAUGUGAAUCACAUGUGAUUUUUUUGUAAGGGCCCCUCUUAACUCUUUAUUUCUCCAAGUUAUUAGGGCGACGCAUGUUUUGGCAGAGCAAAUUAUUAGCCUGCGUGCCCCAACUGUUUUCCCCCAAAUAUUGUCUUAUUGAUAUGAAAUGUGAUUGGUAUGAGUUUCAUAUCAAUAAGACAAUAUUUGGGGGGGAAAAUAAACAGGCCACGCAGGUUAAGAAACGCGAUAAUGUUACGGAAAUCUUCAAAAGUUGCCUCUUCGCUCGUGUUUCAGUCCAUUUUCUCAUCAAUAUGCGACAGUUCGCACUGAGGGUCCAAAACCUGCUGGUCUCUUUACUGUACGUACCUCCAAAGCAGGAGGAAUAUUCCUUUUCUACACGUGAAGAUCCCUGCGCAAAUCCAGUCACCUGCACGGAGCCCAGCUCCUCUUUUUUUUUUACCUGCGAAAAAGGAGCCUAACCAGCAUACAGCCUGCAGGGAUGAAACACCAUCCGAGACCCGAGCGGUCCUCCACUUCUUUAACCCGCCGCGGAAGCCCCGCGUCGGGAGAACCACGGAGGGAAGGUGUGGAGACGGAGUUCCGGUAAGCUGCUGAAAUCUGUUGACUCAGACUUGCGGUUGAUGAAACUAUGGCAGGCCGUUUUAACACCACGGUCCAGAGAUCUGAAAAUCUUGGUAAA